GCUAUGGCUUCACUAUAUAGACAUUUUGCUAGAUUUUUCCAAGCCUAACUCUUCACGAAAGUACAAAUUAUUAUUACGAUUUAACAGAUCGAACAACUAAAACUCUGCAUGUGUUAGUAUCGAAAAAAAAUAAAACUCUGCAUGUCUUCUUUACCAAAAGAAAACUAUGCAUGUCUAUCCUAAGAUGGUACCAACCAAACAAGUGCAGCAAAGAGAAAAGUGAAUGGUGACCAACCAACCAAACCAUCCAUCGAGCCAGAGAUUCGAUCUUCUAAACGAUGCCAUUAGUAGUGCAUGGAAUUGGAACAUAUUAAUGCGAUUAGCCAUCACUGUUGCCAUCUCCAAGAAGAUCACAAUUGAAUUAUUAGCCAUCACUGUUGCCAUCUCCAAGAAGAUCACAAUUGAAUUCACGCUUCACACAUUCAUUUACCGCCAAAGGAAACGUGAUUGUCAAG
rnacentral:lncRNA from 1 species